GACGAACGCUGGCGGCGUGCUUAACACAUGCGAGUCGAACGGAAAGGCCUGCUUUCCCUUGUGGAUUGCGGGUGCUCGAGUGGCGAACGGGUGAGUAACACGUGAGUGAUCUGCCCCCAACUUGGGUAUAAGCCUGGGAAACUGGGUCUAAUUCCCGAUAGGACUGCAGGGUGGUGCCUGUGGUGGAAAACGAUUUUCUAGUGGUUGGGGAUGAGCUCGCGGCCUAUCAGCUUGUUGGUGGGGUAAUGGCCUACCAAGGCGGCGACGGGUAGCCGGCCUGAGAGGGUGGACGGCCACAUUGGGACUGAGAUACGGCCCAGACUCCUACGGGAGGCAGCAGUGGGGAAUAUUGCACAAUGGGCGGAAGCCUGAUGCAGCGACGCCGCGUGGGGGAUGACGGCCUUCGGGUUGUAAACUCCUUUCGACCGCGAGGAAGCCACCUGGUUGGAAGGGUGGUGACGGUAGUGGUAGAAGAAGCACCGGCUAACUACGUG
rnacentral:rRNA from 1 species